rnacentral:rRNA from 1 species
CUACCCCCGCUUUGACUUAAGCAUAUCAAUAAGCGGAGGAAAAGAAACCAACAGGGAUUGCCCUAGUAACGGCGAGUGAAGCGGCAACAGCUCAAAUUUGAAAUCUGGCGCAAGCCCGAGUUGUACUUUGUAGAGGAUGCUUCUGGGUAGCGGCCGGUCUAAGUUCCUUGGAACAGGACGUCAUAGAGGGUGAGAAUCCCGUAUGUGACUGGCUUGCACCCUCCACGUAGCUCCUUCGACGAGUCGAGUUGUUUGGGAAUGCAGCUCUAAAUGGGAGGUAAAUUUCUUCUAAAGCUAAAUACCGGCCAGAGACCGAUAGCGCACAAGUAGAGUGAUCGAAAGAUGAAAAGCACUUUGGAAAGAGAGUUAAACAGCACGUGAAAUUGUUGAAAGGGAAGCGCCCGCAACCAGACUUUGCGGCAGUGUUCGGCCGGUCUUCUGACCGGUUUACUCGCUGUCGUGAGGCCAUCAUCGUCUGGGACCGCUGGAUAAGACCUUAGGAAUGUAGCUCCCCUCGGGGAGUGUUAUAGCCUCUGGUGAUGCAGCGCGUCUCGGGCGAGGUCCGCGCUCCGGCAAGGAUGAUGGCGUAAUGGUUGUCGGCGGCCCGUCUUGAAACACGGACCAAGGAGUCUAACAUCUAUGCGAGUGUUCGGGUGUCAAACCCCUACGCGUAAUGAAAGUGAACGGAGGUGGGAACUUUUUGUGCACCAUCGACCGAUCCUGAUGUCCUCGGAUGGAUUUGAGUAAGAGCAUAGCUGUUGGGACCCGAAAGAUGGUGAACUAUGCCUGAAUAGGGUGAAGCCAGAGGAAACUCUGGUGGAGGCUCGCAGCGGUUCUGACGUGCAAAUCGAUCGUCAAAUUUGGGUAUAGGGGCGAAAGACUAAUCGAACCAUCUAGUAGCUGGUUUCCUGCCGAAGUUCCCCUUCAGGAAAU